rnacentral:rRNA from 1 species
CCUACGGAGGCUGCAGUGGGGAAUAUUGGACAAUGGGCGAAAGCCUGAUCCAGCCAUGCCGCGUGUGUGAAGAAGGCCUUCGGGUUGUAAAGCACUUUCAGUGGGGAAGAAAGCCUUGGGGCUAAUACCCUCGAGGAAGGACAUCACCCACAGAAGAAGCACCGGCUAACUCCGUGCCAGCAGCCGCGGUAAUACGGAGGGUGCGAGCGUUAAUCGGAAUUACUGGGCGUAAAGCGCGCGUAGGCGGUCUGAUAAGCCGGUUGUGAAAGCCCCGGGCUCAACCUGGGAACGGCAUCCGGAACUGUCAGGCUAGAGUGCAGGAGAGGAAGGUAGAAUUCCCGGUGUAGCGGUGAAAUGCGUAGAGAUCGGGAGGAAUACCAGUGGUGAAGGCGGCCUUCUGGACUGACACUGACGCUGAGGUGCGAAAGCGUGGGUAGCAAACAGGAUUAGAUCCCCUGUAGUC